rnacentral:rRNA from 1 species
GACGAACGCUGGCGGUGUGCUUAAGACAUGCAAGUCGUGCGGACCGUAGUAAUACGGUCAGCGGCGGACGGGUGAGUAACACGUGGAUAACCUGCCUGGCUCCCCGGGAUAACAGGCCGAAAGGCCUGCUAAUACCGGGUAAGCUCACGGGGCCGCAUGGUCCUGGGAGAAAAGCUCCUGCAAGGGAGUGGGGUCAGAGGGGUCCGCGGCCCAUUAGCUAGUUGGGGGGGUAACGGCCCACCAAGGCGACGAUGGGUAGCCGGCCUGAGAGGGCGAUCGGCCACACUGGGACUGAGACACGGCCCAGACUCCUACGGGAGGCAGCAGUCGGGAAUUUUGGGCAAUGGCCGAAAGGGCUGACCCAGCAACACCGCGUGAGUGAAGAAGGCCUUCGGGUUGUAAAGCUCUGUUGCCCGUGAAGAACGGUGCUUUCAGGAAAUGGGAAGCACUUGACGGUAGCGGGUGAGGAAGCUCCGGCUAACUACGUGCCAGCAGCCGCGGUAAUACGUAGGGAGCGAGCGUUGUCCGGAUUUAUUGGGCGUAAAGGGCGUGUAGGCGGCUUUUUAAGUCUGAAGUGAAACGCCAGGGCUCAACCCUGGAACUGCUUCGGAUACUGGGAAGCUUGAGUACUCUAGAGGGCAGUGGAAUUCCGGGUGUAGCAGUGAAAUGCGUAGAGAUCCGGAGGAACACCAGUGGCGAAGGCGACUGCCUGGGGAGAAACUGACGCUGAGGCGCGAAAGCUGGGGGAGCAAACGGGAUUAGAUACCCCGGUAGUCCCAGCCGUAAACGAUGAGUGCUAGGUGUAGGGGGUAUCGACCCCCCCUGUGCCGGAGUUAACGCAAUAAGCACUCCGCCUGGGGAGUACGGCCGCAAGGUUG